AGCAAAAAUAAAAGAAAACAAAGGGGGAGAAGAAGGGGUAAUUAAAAGCACCCCUUGGAAGGCAAGCUAAUGGAAAAGAUAACUCCACGCAACAAGCAAACAGAAAAAAAAAAGAAAGAAAAGGAAAAGAGACAGAAAGAAGGCUGUAAAGAAGCAACUCACAGACAAAGAAACUGGAAGUAUAGGGGGGAAGGGAGAAAGAGGAGAGAAAAAGGGGGGAAAAAGCUGCAAAAAUGCAAAAAAAGAAUCAGAAAGUGAGAUAAACAGAAGCUAGAGACCUUUAGACAGGUGGGAGUCAGAAAAGAAAAGAGAUAGGAAGCCGGGGAGUCUUACGAUCAGGAUCACCCCAUGCAGCUCCAAGCACGUCCAAAGCUGAAGGAAGGAAGGAAGAACAGAAGAUACACGGCAGAUCCAGAGUGAGGACAAUGGCAUGACAGCACCCCCAUUUCUGACCACAUGGAAGGAACAGAAUUACACCAAUUCUCCUGAAAGACAGAAGCUCUGCUGGAAGAAGGCACAUUCUGCUGCCAGCUGUGUCCACACAAAGGGUUCUUCCAGUAAAGCCUCAUUUAACUACAAGGCAUAUUGUCUCACACCUCUAACUGACAUAGCUCUGCAGGCAGAACUCUGCAAUAUAGAAAAAAAAACCUAAGGAUACUAUUUCAUAUCCUCUUUGUGCAGAGGCAGAAAGGCAGACCCUGAAUGUAGUGGGAUCCUGUUUUCAUUCUUGUGUUCCAGCAUUCUGUCACUUUGCAGUCUUCAUGAGCAGGUUUCAUUGUGCAAGACAACUAGUUAACUAAUCUGGGAUGCUCUUACUGCUAGGACAUGUCUACACAUUCAUUAAUGUGCUUUUCCUAAUGUGCAUUAAACGUAGUCCCUCCAAUGUGAGGUACUAAAUAAAUGUGUACCAGGCUGCCCUGAUGUGCAGUAUCAAAAGUGCACACUUUUGAAGUGAUGCUUAAUAUGCAGUAGCAUAUUUUACUGCACAUUAAUAUAACUCACAUUUUUCACAUGAUGCUUUAAUGCUCAGUAAAAUAAGCGACUGUGCAUUAAAGUACACAUGUAAAUAUGCCCCCAGUCUCUAGGAAUAUGAUCCUCAAUCUAUCUUGCCUGCAAAGUAGUAAUACACUGAAAGGUAUUACUUCCUAUUAUGGGUAGAUCUAUUUGGUCCAUAUGUGCCAGGACAAACCAUUUAGUGAUCUAUAGCCCUCAAAACUGAUCUGUAGCCCCAAUGCACCUCAUUUUAAGUCUAAGACAAGCUAAGGAGUUUGUAAUGUCAUAAUGUAAUCACAGACACCCAUUAGAAGAUUCAGACUGUGUUACAUCUACUAAUCUAUUUCCUUUGGUAAUGUUAAAUAUUUUAACAUCUAAGCACAAUUAAAUAGUCAGCAGGUUGACCUUGAGCUACUUAUGUACUUAUUGAUGACCUGUCAUGUGUUGCUCUUUCCUUACUUUCAAUGUCUUUCUCCUCCUGCUAUAAGCCCACUGCCUAUCUUUUGUGGGGAAAAACUCAGUUCUGUGAGUUCCUUCACUUUUUUGCUUGAAGAGAUUUGUUGUUCCUCUUAUCUCAUACACACAUCUUUUCCUCCGGGGCAGCUACUCUUUGCUUUUUCACAUUUCUGUCCCUUCAGGAUGACAGUAGCUUCUCUUUAGUUAUUUUAGAAUGCCCAGCCUUGCUUCAAAGUUCAUGCAUGAUCCCCAUCUGGGGACCAGCUGUCCUUUCACUGUACAGUCAUUCCACCAAAUAUAUUUAUUUAUACCCAAAAGGAAGAAAGGAGACUUUCUUUGAAUUCUUCUUUAAAAGGCUUGAACAGUUUAAAAUAGGGAAAAAAAAUAUUAUCUUUAGCUAGUCUGUUUUUAGUUCACAUUAUUUGUCCUCUGCAACACAAUGAAUUAAAUGAGAAAAAAACAAAACUAAACUAAACUAAAAAAAAUAUCUUAAAGCCAUAAAGCCAGAGAGAGGUCAGGACGUACACACACAAAGCAGCAGCUUCAUACUUAAAGUAUAAACUGAGAUUGGAUAUCUUGUUAAAAACCAUGCAAACACAAGUUACUAGGCUCAAUGGUAUUCACCUUUGGACCAGGGAAAAAUAUUCCCACCACUGCAAAAAGCACUUGUUGAAAUUCCAUGGCUUGUGCUAUUCCAUAGUUCAGCUACACAGGCAUAGUGGUCCAUUCUUAUUUUAAUAUCUGGACUCUAUGGAGGGCAUCAACACAGCUAGUCCAAAUGGUUAGGGGUGAAAGAACAGGAAAAAAAAAACCCCGUAACAAAACAAAUCCCCAAGCUAAAAUAUUGAAUUCACCUUAAAAAAAGAGAACCAAAUCAGAACCAUAGAGAUUUCUAAAUGUUAACCAAUACAGUUUUCUCAUUACAUUCUAAACUAACAUCCCAUGCUCAUGAACAAUACAGUUAACAAAUAUAUAAAAAAGAAUGAACAUGCAGUGUCAUUUAGAUUUGAAAUAAUUGAAUCAAGCUAUUUUUGAGUCUUACUAAUUUAAUACACAUGGAGAAAUCCUUCAGGUUUCAUUUGUACCAGGAAUCCCAAGAUAACUUCCUGAUAAUAGACAUCACAGCAACUCACUCUAAUGCUAUGUUUUCUGAGAUAUCAAAAACUAUCUCCAUAGAUUUUUUUUUAAUUAGCUCAAUGAAUAGGUUGAGUCACUAAUUAUCUUUGACAGAUAAAAAUGAAAUAUCAAAACACAUAGAACCCAAAUCCAAUUUAGCCAUCCACUUAAGCUUAGACAUGUAAGCAGCAUACAGUGCCACUUUGACAGGUUUCUGAUCCUACUUGCUUCUGCACGACUAGUUGCACUUCUGAGCAUGCUCAAAAGGAUCUAUUGCAGCCAUUUACACUCUACUGUAACUCUACUGUCUGGUUAAGUGUUAAAUUUGUGUCCAUUCCUAGAAGUUCCUAGAAAGGGUGAAAAACAGUGCAAGUGACUUUUUGAUGAAGGAGGAGGAAGAAGGCUAUUGAUUCAGGUAGGGACAAGAUCUAAAAUCUACAUACUCGGCACUUGGUUUCACUUAUGUGUCUAAUUUUAGACAGUUAAAUGCUUUUUAAAAGGGGGACUUGGACUGAGGCCAGAGACAUUUUAAGUUUGUUAUUUUAGCAGGGCGAGGUAGGUUUCUAUAAAACUGGUAGCUAAGGACUUUGAGACAUAGAAAGUUUCCCCAUAUUCAGAAUUAGAAUUCCAGCAGCAUUAACAAGACCCUUGAACAUGCCAUUCAGUCAUAAAAGCUAGAGAACUACUUAUUGUGUGUUACUAAUGAGGUUCUCCAGGUUAAACUAAUCAUAUUUAUGUACUGUAUUACAAUAUCCAAAGUUCUCAAAUUACCCACUAGUAAUUUAAUAUACUUGAAUCACAUGUCUAAAAGCACUGCCAAAAUCCAUUUGUUAAAUUUGCAUUUUCUUCACUGAAUAUGGGAUUAUACCAUGUGAUAUGAUGGAAAUCCACUUUAAAAUCAAAUCUUCCUUUGGAAUGGCAAGUAGUUGCACACCAGGGUAAUGCGUUGUCUGAAUGUUUCAAGUGAAAGAUUAAAAAAUAUGGUGGCCCAAUAUUCCCAAAUACCAUAUUAUAGAUGGAAUAACUACUAUAAAAAGUUUACUGAAGCCUUAUAAGUAGUGACCUACAAGGAGGAGUACAUCCCAUGUGAAGAUAUGGCUAUCAGAGAGAUUGCUCCUGAAAUUUCUCUGCACAAAGAGAGAGCACAUCAACUGUUAUCUUGGGAAUUCCCCUGUCAUUUCUUUCUGAAUUUACAUACACUUUAAAAACUUUUUAAGUAGGAGAGAAAAUAUGAUACAUUUUCACUGAAUUUUUCACAUUUUCUGAGUAUCCUGAUAUAAUGCACUGGCAUAAAGAUAUUUCUCUUGGUAUUAACAACUAGGGCCUGAAAGAUUAAUAGGAGAGACUCCUGUUUACAUCGCUGCUUUUGAUCAUCAUAAUCUAUACUGAAAAAAAAUAAAUAUGCAUUAUACUCUCUUUUUGGCCAUGCACAACUGACCCCUCACACUAACUCCCUUACUUGUAUAAAUCCAAUCUUAGAUCCCUCCUACACAAAUUAUUCCUCCUUAAGUCCACUUCUACCUGAAAUGCAACAUCAGUAUCCCAGCUCUCAUGCUUAUCUCAGUCCUUUGCACUAUUGCUUAUGUGAUGGGCUAGCUGGCAGUAACUUAGCCCAGGGGUUUUGAAAGGGCAAAAGAUGAUUGGAGGACUUGGGAUUCCCUUUCCUCACCAAUCAGGCCCCAGAGACUCACCCUCCAUGUCCCUUGAUUGGCCCCUUGGGUCACCUGGAGGGGGAUAAAAGGGGCAAUGCAGCUGGCUCAAGGGAGAUCAGUAAGGGACCACAAGGAAGGAGAUUCAAAGAGCUGGCAAGAGCUGAGCCAGUGGGGCGGGAGCAGUUGCCCCAGAAGAGCCUGAAGGAGUGGGACCUGCAGACAGCAGUUGGACCCUCAGCAGGGUGGCAUGCGGCCGGCAGGAGAGGCUCCCCGCUGGGCUCCAGGAUCCCCUAUGAGAGGCUGUGGCCAGCAGGAGAGGCUCCAGCAAGGAUCUGAGGAGCGACCUGAGAAGUUCCCAGCUCUGCUUCCAGCUCCUCCAAUAAGAGGCCAGGCAGCUCAACAUGAGGCUGGGGCUCCUGGAAGGUCAAGACCCCUGGCAGUUUGGCACAGUACCAGCACUGGUGGCUGUGUGGUAGAGCUUCUGCCCAUCAUGUGAGUUCAAGUCCCAGGUGGGGUGAAUGAGUUAACAAGGAAAAAUUCCUCUUGCAGUGGAAAGGGGCCAUUGUGUUUCCCCCCUUUCUCCCCUCCAGGUACCUAGGCCCUAUAUUAUUUGACAUUUUGUAUUUUGUUCCUUUUAUAUUUCACCAGCCAGUAUUGUUUGUUCUGCUGUUUGUGUUUUACAUUUUGGUUAACCCUGUCUUUUGUCAACUGGAUGCAUAUGUCUAUGAUUGUAAGUGUCUAACCUUUGUUAAAUCCUCCCCCUUGGGGCAUUGUAGUGUCCCCUAUACACCCUGGUUUAUACUGGUUAUGUUCCCAGUAUUGUUCUCUCAUUAAAAGGUAUAUGGUUAAGUCCCCA